rnacentral:lncRNA from 1 species
GUUAACAAUUGGAAAAAGAGAAAUUGCUACUUGAACAUUUGUAUCAACUUUUUAGUUGGUAGCCAAGUCACAUUAGUGUGGAUUUUUGGAUAUUUUCUCACAAUUUGUAAGUUAGAUUGGACUAAAUUUUUCAUAGCAUAUAAAAUACUUAUAAAAGCAUUUGUGUAAAAAACUUUUACUAAAAAUAUUGUCAAAUUAGGAGUUAUAACUUGCUAAAUAUCAUUGACUAUAAUUAGGGCUUGUAAAAAGAAAUCAAAAUUACCUAAUUAUGAAAGUAAUAAGGCAAUUGGAGUUUGCAUAUAGUUGAGGUUACUAAAAAGAGUAUUUUUAAGUACCUUGUAUCAAAUUUAAGCACUUAUAAAUUAAAAUUUGAAUUACAUUCUUUUUAUGUGAGUAAAAUCCAUUAGGAUUUUUUUAAAUACUUAUAAAAUACAACUUUAUCUUCCAUAGCCAAGUGCCUAGUACAUUUCCAAACAAAAUAAUAAG